rnacentral:rRNA from 1 species
CCUACGGGUGGCAGCAGUGGGGAAUAUUGCACAAUGGGGGAAACCCUGAUGCAGCGACGCCGCGUGAGCGAUGAAGUAUUUCGGUAUGUAAAGCUCUAUCAGCAGGGAAGAAAAUGACGGUACCUGACUAAUAAGCACCGGCUAACUACGUGCCAGCAGCCGCGGUAAUACGUAGGGGGCAAGCGUUAUCCGGAGUUACUGGGUGCAAAGGGUGCGUAGACGGGGGUGCAAGCCAGAUGUGAAAGCCAGGGGCUCAACCCGCGGACUGCAUUUGGAACUGUGCUGCUAGAGUGUGGUAGAGGCAGGCGGAAUUCCUAGUGUAGCGGUGAAAUGCGUAGAUAUUAGGAGGAACACCAGUGGCGAAGGCGGCCUGCUGGACGAUGACUGACGUUGAGGCUCGAAAGCGUGGGGAGCAAACAGGAUUAGAUACCCUUGUAGUC